AGUGAACGCUGGCGGUAGGCCUAACACAUGCAAGUCGAACGGCAGCACAGUAAGAGCUUGCUCUUACGGGUGGCGAGUGGCGGACGGGAGAGGAAUACAUCGGAAUCUACUUUUUCGUGGGGGAUAACGUAGGGAAACUUACGCUAAUACCGCAUACGACCUACGGGUGAAAGCAGGGGAUCUUCGGACCUUGCGCGAUUGAAUGAGCCGAUGUCGGAUUAGCUAGUUGGCGGGGUAAAGGCCCACCAAGGCGACGAUCCGUAGCUGGUCUGAGAGGAUGGUCAGCCACACUGGAACUGAGACACGGUCCAGACUCCUACGGGAGGCAGCAGUGGGGAAUAUUGGACAAUGGGCGCAAGCCUGAUCCAGCCAUACCGCGUGGGUGAAGAAGGCCUUCGGGUUGUAAAGCCCUUUUGUUGGGAAAGAAAAGCAGCAGGUUAAUACCCCGCUGUUCUGACGGUACCCAAAGAAUAAGCACCGGCUAACUUCGUG
rnacentral:rRNA from 1 species